rnacentral:rRNA from 1 species
GAAUUCAACUCCUACGGGAGGCAGCAGUGGGGAAUAUUGGACAAUGGGCGAAAGCCUGAUCCAGCCAUGCCGCGUGUGUGAAGAAGGUCUUCGGAUUGUAAAGCACUUUAAGUUGGGAGGAAGGGCAUUAACCUAAUACGUUGGUGUCUUGACGUUACCGACAGAAUAAGCACCGGCUAACUCUGUGCCAGCAGCCGCGGUAAUACAGAGGGUGCAAGCGUUAAUCGGAAUUACUGGGCGUAAAGCGCGCGUAGGUGGUUUGUUAAGUUGAAUGUGAAAUCCCCGGGCUCAACCUGGGAACUGCAUCCAAAACUGGCAAGCUAGAGGAUGGUAGGGGGUAGUGGAAUUUCCUGUGUAGCGGUGAAAUGCGUAGAUAUAGGAAGGAACACCAGUGACGAAGGCGACCACCUGGACUAAUACUGACACUGAGGUGCGAAAGCGUGGGGAGCAAACAGGAUUAGAAACCCCGGUAGUCCAGGCGUU